GUUUUUUUGUUUUUUUUUUUCUGAAACCUGUUUCAAAAAAUCUGAAGCCUUCUGGGAAUGGAAAGGACUCAGACUAUACGCUCACUGACUGACUGCAGCUGUAACUUCAACUUGCCAAUGUACACCAUUGCUCACAAGAGGACCAGCUGAGAGUGUGAAUGAAUUUAUUGCCAGCCUUUUCCUACUCCUAAAACAAAGCAAUUCUGUAGAUUUGUUACUGAUGAGUCAUAGCACCAUCUUCAUAUACAAAUAACAACAUUUCAUAUGGCACUAUUUUCAAUGUAAAUGAUAGCAGAGAUCAUGAGGAGAUAGUACAAAUUAUCUUGGGCCAUUGUCUUAUUUAUAGAUUAAAGUACAAUUAUGUUUUUCACUGAUUUACCUUCUGACAUCUUAGUUAAUUAAGUUACUUGUUUCUUUUAUGUUCAUUCUCCCCUUAGAUCUGGCACGACUAUUCUUUUCUUUAAUAUUCUUUCCCUUGUUAAAUUGUUAAUUUUUUCUGAGGGGCAGAAUACCUUUUUAUCAUUAUUUUGAGAAUGCUAAGUAUUUACAUAAUUAUCCUUCAGAGAACAUUGGAAGACAAUACUGUUGAACAAAUGGAUAAAUAUUAGAAAAGGAUUACUGGAUAAUUCUGUCAUUUCUGGAAGCCUCAGUGAUUGAUUUAUUCUCUUUUUACCUUAACAUAUUUUUCCUCUAGGUUACUAUUUUUUUCCUGACAGGUUUUCAAGCUUAUAAUUGGUCAUUUUCUCUGUUUAAAAAAAUAUUCUGGGAGUGCGCAAGCGCUCAGAAAAAUAUUAUCUAUUAGCAAACUCAUUAAUUUAAGAACCUAUUAAUAAAUUUGCUCAUUCAUUUAGAAUGAAAAAUAUCUAAUACAGUAUUUAUAUUUAUAUUUAUUUUUUAUAUUUAUAUUUACAUUUAUUUUAUAUUUUAUAUUUAUGGCUUUUAGUCAAUAUAUAACUUCAAAAGAGAAUUUCAAAUCAAAUCUUAUGCCAGUCCAAAAAUCAAAUAACUGAUAUAAACAAAAGAGUAUAGGCCCAACACAAAACAGUAAGACAGAGAUAAUUUGUUAGUUUAGUUAGGUAGUCGAUUAGUCAUCUAUCAUACAAUUACUGAAAGUCUACUUUGUGCCAGGAAUUUCUUCAGAUACAAAGAUGAAUAAGUCAUAGUACAUCCCCUCCAAAAACACCUAUUCUAGCAAGAAAGGUGCUACGUAAAUGCAGAAAAGAAUAUCAACAAUACAAUGUGGUCAGAUCUAUUAUAGAGGUAUGUAGAGUCACUGAGAGACCAUCUAGCCUAAUGGAUAAUACAAUCUGGCAGACAAUGUAUGCUAUUUCUGUUUUGAUUUGGAAUGCAUUCUAAUUGUUGCCAAGCAAUUUUGUUUUAUUAACUUUUGUGUUAAAUUGGCUAAUAUUUAAAUUACUUUAAUUCCUCAUAUACAUACAAUUAAGAGGUAGAAUGAAUGAUACACUUUGAUGAAUGAAAGGGUCACAUAAGAUUAACAUUUGUAAAAAAUUAAUUUGAAAAAUAGAAUUCAAUCCUAAAAUGGAACAGUGACUGCAAAACUAGUGACUGCAAACUUAGAACCAUGUUCCUGGAAACUUAGUAGCAUAAGCCUGGCAUUGACAAUCUGAUUCAUGGUUCUCUUACUAUCUACUCACAUUGCUCCUUUAGGGGAAAUUUGACAAUGAUGUCUGGAAAAUGUAUUGCUACUUUCAAAGAUUCUUGCUAACAUUUGAGCAAAGUGGAAAGCAGUUCUGGCAUUUUGGAUAAAUGUUCCCCAAAUCUUCCUUGCCAGAUAUUUCAUUAAGU
rnacentral:lncRNA from 1 species